CCGAAAGUGAUCUUGGCUGCCGUGUCCUGGUCAUUGGUAGUGCAGGGAAAGGAUGCGGAAAGACGGGCUCCGAGCUCGGGGCGUCUGGCCUGGAGCUUUCCUACACUUGUGUCUUGCUCUGCAGCCUUACGGAAGUGUGGGUGGCGCUUUCUGGAAGCUGCACAAGUCAGUGCUGGGUCUUCGCAACUUGGUGUUCUGUUUCCAGAAACUUGGGGUGUUUGCAUGUGCUAGGUCAGCACAGAUUUCCAAAGGAUCUCUAGGAUUGUCACGUGUGCUCAACAGUCCUCCUCGGCUUUCCAGAAGAGGCUGGAACAGGGCCCUUGAAGAUGUUUGUGGACAUCAGAGG
ensembl:processed_transcript Snhg17 small nucleolar RNA host gene 17